UACGGAGGAUCCGAGCGUUAUCCGGAUUUAUUGGGUUUAAAGGGUGCGUAGGCGGCCUUGUAAGUCGAGGGGUGAAAGACGGUAGCGUCAACUAUCGCAGUGCCUUUGAUACUGCAGGGCUUGAAUGUACUUGAGGCAGGCGGAAUGUGACAAGUAGCGGUGAAAUGCAUAGAUAUGUCACAGAACACCAAUUGCGAAGGCAGCUUGCUAAAGUAUGAAUUGACGCUGAGGCACGAAAGCGUGGGGAUCAAACAGG
rnacentral:rRNA from 1 species